AAUCAACGCUGGCGGCGUGCCUAACACAUGCAAGUCGAACGAGAACGGGACCUUCGGGUCCCUAGUAAAGUGGCGCACGGGUGAGUAACACGUGACUAACCUACCCUUGAGUGGGGAAUAACUUCGAGAAAUCGAGGCUAAUUCCGCAUAAUACCUACGGGUCAAAGGAGCAAUUCGCUUAAGGAGGGGGUCGCGGCAGAUUAGUUAGUUGGCGGGGUAAUGGCCCACCAAGACUGUGAUCUGUAUCCGGCCUGAGAGGGCGCACGGACACACUGGA
rnacentral:rRNA from 1 species